UACGUAGGGUGCGAGCGUUAAUCGGAAUUACUGGGCGUAAAGCGUGCGCAGGCGGUUUUGUAAGUCAGAUGGGAAAGCCCCGGGCUUAACCUGGGAAUGGCAUUUGGGACUGCAAGGCUUGAGUGCGGCAGAGGAGACUGGAAUUCCUGGUGUAGCAGUGAAAUGCGUAGAUAUCAGGAGGAAUACCGAUGGCGAAGGCAGGUCUCUGGGCUGACACUGACGCUCAUGCACGAAAGCGUGGGGAGCAAACAGG
rnacentral:rRNA from 1 species